rnacentral:lncRNA from 1 species
UUUAAAUACAAAAGAUGAGUCUUUGAAAGAAUGAUCUUUUCACGCUUUUUGAGCUACUUUCGCCACACAGAAAUUGCCGAGCUAUUCAUCAGCUUGGCUCGUUUGACCCAAAUGAGGAGAAUGAAAAAGACAUAUAUUCUUAGCCUGUGACACCACCGCCUGUCACUUGUCCCCUCCAGGUCAAGAUCUUGAACUGCGAUCUAACAUAAACUGAAAAGGAAGUCAGAGAACCUUCACCUGCUGCAAAAUGUUACUUUAUUUAAAUCUCUACAAUCACAGUCUUGGACCAGUUCAAGCUGACUGGCAGCUGCACUUGAUGAUUUACCUGAGAGCACUGAAGUGAAAAUCCAGCCAGCUAUCACCUUCAAAUGACUGAGGCAGAGGACUGGGGGGAGCAUUUUGAUUUUGUGAUUUAUUUUCCUUUCUGGUCACAGAUAGUGUUUCAUAUCCAAAUCUAGACUUACACACAGAGCUGCAUGGAUGCAGAUGGUCAUAUCUUGUUAAAAUAGGAAAACACUUCCAUACCAGCUGAUAAAUAAUCAGUGCAUUCAGCCCUUGAACAACCACCCUCCAAUCAAAGAUCUUCCCAGAAGUACCCCAGGAGAUUCCCACCAUUCAUCAAAUAAAGAAAUAACCCUGGCAAAGCAGGACUUCUGCAGAACUCUGCCCCAAUACUAAAGCCUACACCACUCUGUUGUUAAAUAUAGCUCCUGAAAUACGAAAGAAGAGAACUUCAGUGGGGUGUUGUUUAUAAAGGAUCAAUUUAAGCAAUAUUCUUUUAUUGGGUGCUUUGGAUCUUUUAGAAAAAUUCAAUGGAAGAUAUUACCUAUUAUGGGUCUAUCGUCUCAUUAUAGAAUUCAGAUGGAGACAGACUAGAAGUAUACACAGCAGAAUGGCAAAAGUUGUAUUUUGUGGUGAUAGGAUUUCAGGUAACUUUUUUUGUAUUUAUUUGUCUGCAGUUUUCAGCUUUUCAAUUAACAGGUGUUAUUUGUGUAAUGAUGAAUUUGUGUAAUAAGAAACACAAAAAAUAAACAUAGCUCACUUAAUGUUUUGUUACA